AAACAAAAGUUGAAAUAUUUAGCGAUUUUCGACUUUUUUUCUUUUUUUGAGAGAGACACGUAGCACGCUACCCGCUUCGUUUUAUUUCAUUUAGAAAUAAACUUAGCUGGAAAUGUGAAUCUAACUAGGAUUCGAACUUGAGACCUCGGGUACCAACUAUCAAGUCCUUUACCACUUACUCCAGAGACAGUCGAUGUGAUUUUUGGAUCUUAAAUAUUUUACAAGAUGAAAUUGUACAUCUUCAAAUCGCCUAAAAUAUUUAGAAAAAUGAUUUGAAAUCUCCAUUUUUAUUAGAUACGGUUAUCAAUGUUUAUGUAAAAAGUAUAUAAUAUUUUUUGAUGUACCCGCUUCGUUUUAUUUCAUUUAGAAAUAAACUUAACUGGAAAUGUAAAUCAACUAGAAUUCGAACUUGAGACAUCGGGUAUCAACUAUUAAGCUCUUUGUCACUUGCUCUAGAGACAGUCGGUGCGAUUUUCAGAUCUUAAAUAUUUUACAAGAUGAAAUUGUACAUCUUCAA
rnacentral:lncRNA from 1 species